rnacentral:rRNA from 1 species
UGCUAAGACUGGAUAGGAAAUAAAAAGGCAUCUUUUUAUUUUUAAAAGACCUUUUUCGGAAGGUAUGCUUAAAGAGGGGCUUGCGUCACAUUAGUUAGUUGGCAGGGUAAAGGCCUACCAAGACUAUGAUGUGUAGCUGGACUGAGAGGUUGAACAGCCACAUUGGGACUGAGACACGGCCCAAACUCCUACGGGAGGCAGCAGUAGGGAAUUUUCGGCAAUGGAGGAAACUCUGACCGAGCAACGCCGCGUGAACGAUGAAGUAUUUCGGUAUGUAAAGUUCUUUUAUUGAAGAAGAAAAAAUAGUGGAAAAACUAUCUUGACGAUAUUCAAUGAAUAACCCCCGGCAAACUAUGUGCCAGCAGCCGCGGUAAUACAUAGGGGGCGAGCGUUAUCCGGAAUUAUUGGGCGUAAAGGGUGCGUAGGCGGUUUAAUAAGUCUAUAGUUUAAUUUCGGUGCUUAACACUGUCCUGCUAUAGAAACUAUUAUACUAGAGUGAGAUAGAGGCAAGUGGAAUUCCAUGUGUAGCGGUAAGAUGCGUAAAUAUAUGGAGGAACACCAGAGGCGUAGGCGGCUUGCUGGGUCUUUACUGACGCUGAGGCACGAAAGCGUGGGGAGCAAACAGGAUUAGAUACCCUGGUAGUCCACGCCGUAAACGAUGAGUACUAAGUGUCGGGAUUACUCGGUACUGAAGUUAACACAUUAAGUACUCCGCCUGAGUAGUACGUACGCAAGUAUGAAACUUAGAGGAGUUGACGGGACUCCGCACAAGCGGUGGAUCAUGUUGUUUAAUUCGAAGAUACACGAAAACCUUACCAGGUCUUGACAUACUCUGCAAAGCUAUAGCAAUAUAGUGGAGGUUAUCAGGGAUACAGGUGGUGCAUGGUUGUCGUCAGCUCGCGUCGUGAGAUGUUAGGUUACGUCCUAAAACGAGCGCACCCUUGUCAUUAGUUGCCAGCAUGUCAUGAUGGGCACUUUAAUGAGACUGCCGAUGAAAAGUGGGAGGAGGUGAUGAUGACGUCAAUCAUCCUGCCCCUUAUGAUCUGGACUACACGUGUAAUACGAUGGCUGCUACAAAGAGUAGCUGAACAGCAUGUUUACAGCCAAUCUCAAUACAGCAGUCUCAGUUCGGAUUGAAGUCUGCCACUUCGACUCAUGAGUUUGGAAUCGCUAGUAUCCGCGAAUCAGCAUGUCGCGGGAGAAUCCUUUC